rnacentral:rRNA from 1 species
UACGGAAGGCAGCAGUGGGGAAUAUUGCACAAUGGGCGCAAGCCUGAUGCAGCCAUGCCGCGUGUAUGAAAAAGGCCUUCGGGUUGUAAAGUACUUUCAGUCGUGAGGAAGGUGUUAAGGUUAAUAACCUUAGCAAUUGACGUUAGCGACAGAAGAAGCACCGGCUAACUCCGUGCCAGCAGCCGCGGUAAUACGGAGGGUGCGAGCGUUAAUCGGAAUUACUGGGCGUAAAGGGCACGCAGGCGGUUAAUUAAGUUGGAUGUGAAAUCCCCGGGCUUAACCUGGGAAUGGCAUUCAAGACUGGUUAGCUAGAGUCUUGUAGAGGGGGUAGAAUUCCAUGUGUAGCGGUGAAAUGCGUAGAGAUGUGGAGGAAUACCGGUGGCGAAGGCGGCCCCCUGGACAAAGGACUGACGCUCAUGUGCGAAAGCUGGGGAGCAAACAGGGAUUAGAUACC